AACGGAACUUGACGCGAAUCAACGUCGCGACCUUUGGGAUUGUCAACCUAAUCCUCGUUCUAUGGCAGUGUCGCGAGUGGCGGCGGCUUUAAUGCCCGUUCAAAAAACACACUCGCCUAUCGCGACGUCUCCCUUUCGCUUCAGAUCCAUUUCCGGAUCUCAACCAAGCGAUUUCAACGCCGCGAGAGGGUUUUGCUUUCGGGUCCUGCGCUCUCGGGCUCGAUCGAUUCGGCGAUUCCAAAAUCCUCUCGGCAUUCUCGCCUUCCUCUCCGGUCGACGCCGGCGAUUGCUCGAAUCCGCAUUCCCGGUGCUGGAUCGAUUCGCUUUUGGUGGCGAUCAGGCGGAGCAUUCGCCUGAGACGGACUGGUUUUUCUACCUGUUACUCUUAUUGACAGCGAUUUCGGUGAUUUGGAAAGAUCCGUUUAUUCGGAUCUUCGUCGGUGUGGGAUAGCAGCGGUGAGUCGCAUUUGCUCGUCUCGUUUCGAAAUUAGAAGUCGGUCCGGUUGUUUGGGGUUUAGAGCGUGGAUUCCUGUAAACGAGCUGAAGUAGCUAGCUGUAGGUUUGGAGUAAAAUGGCUUCAAAACCUUUCACUUGGAUAGGGAAUUCGAGCUAAAGUGUUCAAUUUCAGCAAUAUUUGGAUAAAAUUCUCUCACAUGGCUCUGUAGCUGCUAUAAAGGAACUUUCUUUAUAUUGCUCCAAUAUAAAGGAACUUUGUUGCUUUGAAAUAUUGUCAUAUCUCGCAGUCAUCUGGAUCAACACUAUCCUCGUCAAGCAUUUCAUCAAGUUUUAGAUAAACUCUCGUAACUCUCUUGUGGCUGAAAAGGAGCUUUCGCAACCAUCCUCAUCAUUAUCCUUGAUACGGCGAAUUAGGUAGCAUCCUCGAAGUUGGGGUCGAAGUCAAGAAGCCGGUCAUGUGGCUCGGUCGUAUAGUCCAGCCGAUGAUUGGACCUUUUGUCUGAUUGGAUCCCGAGUCCUCCUGGCUCGAUGGAAUCCCGAGUCGUUCCAGUCCUAGUUAGAACUGAGUCCUCUCAGUCUAACUGAAUAUACUUGACGAACGGCUCAACCGAACUCCUUGUCUGAGCGGGUGCUGGCCGAGUCCUAAAGAUGGCCAUCAUUCCUUAGCCGACCCGAUCCCGUACGAGAAGAAGGUCCGACCGGACGUUAUAGGAGACUCGGUCGGCCUACCUUCAAAGUGUAUUAAUGACCCUUCAAAGGAGACUCGGUCGUAUAUUCAUUUUUGGCAUUUUGUUUAACCGUUGUAAGAGAAUCAAGGGAAUAUGCCCUGGCCAAUCAAUACGACAGAAACUUCUACCUUGCAAAGCACAGAAAUGAUGGGUCUAUUUUAGGAAAGAUUGUGGUGUGUCAAAUUGGUUGAUCUUAUUUCAGAAAUGCAUUGAUAUUCGAGAGAAAACAACAGUAUAUAAGGGGUCUCCACCUAUAAGCGUAGGUAAGCUCCAUUAUCAGAGUUCACUGUUCGUCAUUUUUGUUCUUUAUUUAUUCCUUCGCCCUUUGUCUAACUUGAACAUCGGAAUGCCUGCGCCAGGGACCCCUUCCUGGUCCAGUCACUUACGUUUUCUUCUUCUAGUUCUUCUCUUUGACACGCAGGCUCGAUCACGACACCAGGUCCCUCUUGCCCAUAGUCUUCUCGCCAUUAACCUUAACGCUACCUAGCCAGCACGCCAUCUUCCCAUAGACGAUGUUAAAUUUGAUCCUGCCUAAAAUCGGGAAAGAUGAAGCACUGGUUAGGUGGCGUCAAGGUCGUUCACGAGAAGACUCCGAGAAGGAGGGACCUGGUGUUGCGAUUGAGUCUACAUGUCAAAAAGAACUAGAAGAAGAAAACGUCAAUGACAAGGCUAGGGAGGGGUCUCGGCGUAGGCACUCUGACGCUCAAGUCAGACAAAGGGCGAAGGAAUAAAUGAAGAAUAGAAAUGAUGAACAUUGAACUCUGAUAGCGGAGCUUACCCGCGCCUGUAGGUGGAGACCCCUUAUAUACUGUUGUUUUCUCUCUGCACGAAUAUGAAUGCAUUUCCGAAAUAAAACCAACCAAUCUUACACACCAAGGUCUUUCCUCAAAUAGACCCACAAUUUCUGUGUUUUGUAGGGUAGCUUCCGCCGUACAGAUUACUCAGGGUAUAUUCCCUUGAUUCUCUGACAACGGUUAUACAAAACGCCAAAAAGGAAUAUUAGGCCGAUGGACCAUUAAUAUGCUUUGAUGGUAGGUCGGUUGAGUCCCUUAUAACGUUCGGUCAGAGCUCGUUCUUAGACGGGGUCGGGCCAGCUAAGGAAUGAUGACCAUUUUGAGGACUUGGCCUCUUUGAGGACUCAGCUCAGACAAGGAGUCUGGCAUAGCCAUUUGUCUAGUAUAUUCAUUCAGACUGAGAGGACUCGGUUCUGACUAGAACUAGGACGGCUCAAGAUUCCAUCGAGCCGGGAGGACUCGGGAUCCGAUCGAACAAAAGGUCCAAUCGGCUCGACUAUUCAGUUGAGCCUGAACCACAUGACCGUGCUAGCUCCGAGUGUUGACCCCUCCUUGAAUGUGACUGCCACAUCGGCCAACUUUCUUGGCUUCGACCCCAAAUUCGGGGACCCUGCCUUAUUCACCGUAUCAAUCCUCAACAAGCUGUCUUUGUCCCAAAUGUUUGGGAUCAUCUAUAGAUCUUCUUAUAAUUUUAUUGAGUUUUAUGGAAGGUUAAAUUGCUAGUAAUAUUCAAAUCAAAUAUUUUUUUUUCAUUAAUAACGAAUUUUUGUUUUUCACCCACUCUAUCCCUUACAUCUUUCUCUCUAAUUGAUUCAACAAUUUCAACUGUAGAAUCUAGUUCUUGCUUUUUAAUAUGUCAAUAUAAUCUCAACUUAUUUUCCUUUUAUUAUCUACGUGGCCUAUACUUAAUUGCUCUGCCAAAGGAGCAAUUUUGUUUCAUCUUUCUUGGCAUUUGAAAUACUUUCUUAAAUGUUUUAUCCCAUGAUGGUUUAAUCAUUCUCAUAAUUUUUUUAUAGUAAAUUCAAACUCUAUUGGCUGUUAGCCCUCCACUUACUCUCAUGUAUGCAAAAUUGUUUGUUAGAAUCCUCAUGUGUUGUGUGAGGCGAAUGUAAAGCUUAGGGAACCCAAUUUAAGUUAUUCAAAUCCAAUCUAAACCCAAAGUAGACCAAAUUGCAAAUAAUUUCUGAAUAAACAUAUAAUUUAGGUCAAUUAAAGUCUUAUUUAUUAUAAUACUAUACAGAAGAAUGCAGAAAUAUAACAGCUAUGUAAUAACUAUUCAAUGAUAACAACCUUCCUAUUACUAUGCCUCUGAUAUAUCAUAUGGUGUAUAAUAAAAUGAAAGCUCCAAGAGCUACUUAUAUCCAUAUGUUAUUCCUAUACUUGUUUCAGUUACAAUUGUGCUAGUUCUACUUAUAGUUGUCAGCCAAGAUUUAUUGAUACACAUGUGAAUCAAUCUAUUAUAAAUUUACCAAAUGUCCUUGAGCAAUGUUUACUAUGGGGAUGUAUUGUAUUGAUCUCACUUGUAUGCCACAAGAAUUGAUAUUCUCAUCCAAUACAAAGACAUUGUUGAAUAUGUGUGAAUGGAGAAGAGGUGGAAGAGGAUAGAAGCUCCAUUGUGAAUGGGACUUUAGUCCCACAUUGAGAGUUUCAUGGCAUAUUGGUUGGUUUAUAUUGAUUCACAUGCAUUGAGGAUGUGAACAAAUGCAUGGGGAGAGACUCCCUCUCACGCGUGGGUGUGCAAGGGGGUGCAAAUCCAGGGUUCGGAUUGCACUGAAGCAUGUUGACUCAUGUGCUGGCACGACUUGCGCGCGCCGAAUGUCGAACCGGUCGGGACAAAAUUUGCCCAAGUGGAAUAACCAACAUUUUGCCAUGUAACUUUUUGUUGCUGUGUAACGGAUGUAUUAAAGUUGAGAUUAAUGCAGAAUCAAAACGGUCGAGUAAUAAUGAGUGAAACGGCGGGUGUUUCACUGCUCGGCAAGUAAGGAGACUGCGAUCAUAAACAGAGAAAACACAACAACACAAACAGAAGCUCUCCACCUUCAUUCUCUCCUCUGUCGUGCAACUCCUGCUCAGUAGAGUGCCCGUGAUAGAAAUCGGGUGUCACUUAGUUCACCGUGACCACCAGUGCUUGGUGGGGAUCACGGUCAACUGUUGUAUCCUGGGGAAACAGAUGACCAUAGUAAGCCUCAAAGCACAACCGGAGGUGGGCGAAUCUGUUUCAAAAAAACUGCAUCAAUCGCAGGUCUCGGUUCACAGCUCAAAACUCGACCUGCCUGUUUGUUCGCCCGACCGGCCUCGCUCAGUCUACUCCUAUACCUGCUGCUCAGCCAAUCUGCCGCUCUGCAACGCAGACCUGCCUCUCUGCAACGCAGAUCUGUUUCUCUGCAACGCAGACCUGCCUGCUCUGUCGCUCUGCAACACAGAUCUGCCUCGCUCGGUCUGCUCCUAAACCUGCUGCUCAGCUAAUCUGCCGCUUUGCAACGCAGAUCUGCUAGACCUGCCGCUCUGCAACACAAACCUGCCGCUCUACAACGCAGACCUGCCGCUCUGCAACGCAGACCUGUUGCUCUGCAAUGCAAACCUAUCACUCUGUCGCUCUGCAACACAGAUUUGCCCGCUUUGUCACUCUGCAACGCAGACCUGUCGCUCUGCAACACAAACCUGUCGCUUUGUCACUCUGCAACGCAGACCUGUCACUCUGUCGCUCUGCAACGCAGACCUGUCGCUCUGCAACACAGAUCUGCCCGCUUUGUUGCUCUGCAACGCAGACUUGCCACUCUGUCGCUUGCAACACAGACCUGUCGCUUGUAACACAGACUUGUCGCUCUGCAACACAGAUCUGCCCGCUCUGUUGCUCUGCAACGCAGACCUGUCGCUCUGCAACACAGACCUGUAGCUCAGCCAACCUGCAUGCUCAGCAAUACAUACCUGCUACUUGGCUGAUCAGCUCGCUCGGCGACUCAGUUCGCUCUUCGGCACAUAACAGAAACUAGCCCCUGCUGGUAGCCUGAGAUUAUCCGCUCAGGUCAUUUCGACUGAACUGAUGACGAUCUUCCACCAUAUCUUCAAAAUCGUGGUGCAGCUGCACAGCCUGUGGCUUCUGGUGGAAAAUCUACCAUUGGUGCCCUUCCUCACUCUAGAGUACAGAAUGAUAUGGAGAUCCUAAUUUAUGAGCUUGGGCAAGAAGCCUACUGCUCUGUUCUUCGGUGUUUAAGGCCCACUCAGACGCUAUUACUCGGGCAUCCAUCAAGACAUAUAAGACGGAAAGUCUGAUUACUGAAUUGAGGAAAGAACUGAGAUUAACUAAUGAGGAACACAGAGAACUACUACGGAGAGUUAAUGCUGACAAUAGUGUCAAGCAUAUAAGCACCAUGGGCUGAUGAUGUGGCAUGGAGUUCGUAUCAGGUAGUGUUGGUGAUUGGUUAUUUUGAUGUCAAGAAGAUUGGUAUCUUCUAGUUUAGUAAGAAUAUCUUUUAAUUUGAUAAGAGUUUAAUGAGACACUUGUAUUUCCCGAUUUGCAUUAUUUUCUUUUAGUUUAUUAAGGGUUGAGUCUAUAAUAGCGAUUCAAUGUAUUGGAAUAUUUUAGUCAAUAAAAUUCCAGUUUGAUUAAUCUCUGUGUGAGAUCAUUCUUUCUUUAUGUGAGACAAUUAUCACUGCACUUCAUCAAUUUCAAUAUCAAUUCUCUGUAUAAGCUUGUCUCGGUUUGGUGCUGCAUCAAUUUGGGGUCACAACCAUAUUCCUACGGUACUGUUCAAUACUCCAUCCUACCCUUUGAUUGUGGGUUUAUGGUCCAAAUUUGGCGUUAUAUCACCUAAUUACUUGUAGAUGGAUAUUUAUAUAUACUAAAUCAGAUUCAACAAAUAUCCUAGUGAGUUAGUUCCAACUAUGCAUUUUGGCUCCAUUAUAAAUUUUCAGUACCAUAGUGAACUUUCAUAUGUGCUCAAUAUUUCCUAUAAUACUGUCACCAUUAAUCGUUUGCACUAAGUACAUACGCUGCACACAUCAAUUAUAAGAGAAAGGACAGCUGUAGAUGAUGCAAUUGACAACUUUCAGUUGAUUUCUAACCUUCAAAUUAUUAAUUAAUUGUCGUAUCUUAUUUCUUCUCUGUAUUUGGAUUUUAUUUUCUCAGAAUAUGGAGAAUCCAUCUAUCUUCUCAGUGUCGACAAUGCCAUAUACUGUCAUUUGUCUCAUUUUAUCCAAUCAAUUAUAUAACUAAUAUUGUCAUAUAGCUAUCAUGGCUCACGUUUCAUUUUCCUACAAAGUUUUUAAACUUACAUUAUGUAAGUUAUUGUUGAGAAAAUCAUGUUAUCUUUAUAUUUUUGUAUCUGUAUUUUUGUUUUUAUUUCACUUGGAAGAAUACAAUGGAGUAGUGUUAAAACAAAUAAUUUAUGGACGUAUGGGGAUGUUAAGUAAUCAAUAUCUAAUUUACUCGAGUACUAAUUAAAUUCUACGGCAUAUUUGUAUAUUUAUAAUUCAUUUAUUAAUGCAUAUAUAAUUAUAAAUAAGACUAUAUACUUGUGAGAAGCCUUAGUAGCUUGCCCAAACUUUGUUGAUUUCAAUUCUUAUAGAUUCAAAUUGUUUCUUAUAUAUAUAUAUAUAUAUUCUUGCAUGUAUAAUAGCAUAUUGUAAAUAUAAUUAGUCUUUUUUGGUUGAUCUAAGUAAAUCUUCGUUUAUAUUUAUGUGUUUGUCAUAUUUUAUGGCCAAUAUUUGAACUUUAGCUCAAAUAUUGUAAUAUCAUUUUCACUAACUUCUAGAAUGAUCUUUAUUAUUUAUGCAUAUGCAUUAAUUAAAAUCAGUAAAGUUGUUACACCAAAAGGUCACGAGUUCGAAUUCUGGAAAUAAUUUUUUGCAAAAAACAGGGUAAGACUGCGUACAAUGGAUCCUUCCCCGGGACCCUGCAUGACGGGAGCUUUGUGCACCGGACUACCUUUUUUUUUUAUUAUUAUUAAUUAAAAUCAGUACAAAAGACCGUCAUACAUUGCUUAAAAUGUAAUAGCUAUAAUAUUAAUGUAAUUUUGCACGAUGCAUGGGUUAUCCACUAGUUAACCAAAAAGCCUGAUGCAUUGUUAGGGAGUGGAGACAGGCCGGUGGAGUGCAAUCUAGCUUAGUGAAUAGUGCUCAAACUGCGCUUGAUAUGAUUUCCAGCCCCACUCUUUCAGGUUCUCAAAAAAGGAAAAAGACAUCAAACUCGGUAGCUGCUUUAUCUAUGGGAGGAUCUCUCCCUGUGCUUCACCCAUAAUCAGGUGCUAUUUCACUACAUACAUUAGCAUCAACUGCAAAACAAGGAAAUAUGGCAGGGGCCAGGGGCAAGAAGACUAAACCUAAUCCUCCUGGUUCAAUUCGAAUUGAUCGAGUUAAGAAUAUAGCAGCUGAAUCUGCUGAUGUUGCAGCAAAUGCUUCAUUGGUUGGACAGAAAGUAAUGACAAGAUGGCCUGAUGACAAUACCUUCUAUGAAGCUGUUAUAACUGACUACAAAACUCAUGAGGUUUAUUCACUGAGUAGUAUGCAUCUACUAUUUUUCUGAAAGAGCAGCAAAUAACCAAUGUGCUAAUGUCAUGCCAUCAUCAGGGUUUACAUGAUUGCUCCUGAGGAUGUAAGAUGGGUUGAUAGUGAGCUUGGUAAGUACAAACCAGGAGACUACCGUUGACCUGGUAAAAAGUCAAGCUUCAACGGUGCCGGCAGGGGAAGAAUAUCAAAGAAAGGGUGAAAGAGUACAUGCCAUCGCAAAAUUGGCUCGGGAGAAAGGGUUUCGAAAACAUUAAAAUACUAGAUAUAAAAGUUAUUGUCAAGGAUGUGGAGAGAAUUCUUGACAUUAGUCCUCCAGAUCAUCAAGAGAUUGAGAAGGCAAAGAAACUUCUUAAAGAACAUGAGCAAUCACUGGUUGAAGCAAUCGCGAAGCUUGAUAACAUGUCUGAUAGCAAAAACGAGGAAGAUGACCAAUUCUCCAUAGACGAACCAAGGAGCAAGCCAUGGUAUGGACUGACUGGCCACACGGACAAAAACAAGGAUUGCAUUUCCAAGGCAUGCUUGAAGGCCAGGGAGGUUCUGAUGGCGAUCACUUGGCCGGAGAUGGUACAACAUCCAACUAUCAUAGAGAUGACUACUAUGGGAUAUAACAUUAUGUCUGACAAUCUAUUCACCAACAAGACUACAAGGAUGAUACUGGCAUGCGAUUUCAUGCAUUAUCGAAAGUCUGAUGAGUAAAUUCAAGUGGCCAUCAAAUUAGGCAGCCUCCUUAGGAGUGGUUGGAAUACUCUGUUUGAUGAUUGAUAUAAAUUCAACUCUGAAGAAGGCUUGAUAUACUGACACCAUCAAUUCUUUCUAAAAUUCCUUUUUCCUGUCACAUUUGGAUAAUUACAUUUAAUUUAAGGGGUAAAAAACAUGACUUAUAAUUUGUCUA